rnacentral:tRNA from 1 species
GCCGGAAUAGCUCAGUCGGUAGAGCAGAGGACUAAAAC